UACGUAGGGUGCGAGCGUUGUCCGGAAUUAUUGGGCGUAAAGGGCUCGUAGGCGGUUUGUCGCGUCGGGAGUGAAAACACUGGGCUUAACUCAGUGCUUGCUUCCGAUACGGGCAGACUAGAGGUAUUCAGGGGAGAACGGAAUUCCUGGUGUAGCGGUGAAAUGCGCAGAUAUCAGGAGGAACACCGGUGGCGAAGGCGGAUCUCUGGGCCAUUACUGACGCUGAGGCGCGAAAGCUAGGGGAGCAAACGGG
rnacentral:rRNA from 1 species